rnacentral:rRNA from 1 species
GGAGUAUAGCAUGUGCGCGAGUCAUUGGGACUUGCGAAACCUAAAGGCGAAAUGAAAGUGAAGGCGCGCCUUGCGCACGCCCGGGGCGUCCCAUUCUCAUUGCGAGAGGGGGCGCACCUAGAGCGUACACGCUGGGACCCGAAAGAUGGUGAACUAUGCCUGGUCAGGACGAAGUCAGGGGAAACCCUGAUGGAGGUCCGUAGCGAUUCUGACGUGCAAAUCGAUCGUCGGAGCUAGAUAUAAGGGCGAAAGACCAAUCGAACCAUCUAGUAGCUGGUUCCCUCCGAAGUUUCCCUCAGGAUAGCUGGCGCUCGCUGUGUGCGAGUCUCAUCCGGUAAAGCGAAUGAUUAGAGGCAUUGGGGUCGAAACGGCCUCAACCUAUUCUCAAACUUUAAAUGGGUGAGAUCUCCGGCUUGCUCGAACUAUGAAGCCGCGAGACCUCGGAUCAGAGUGCCAAGUGGGCCACUUUUGCGCUGUGGGAUGAACCAAACGCCGAGUUAAAGCGCCCAAAUCGACGCUUAUGGGAUACCAUGAAAGGCGUUG